rnacentral:snoRNA from 1 species
GUGCCCUUUUAAGGACAAUUCAGUGCUUUCUGAGGCUAACACAGAAGGGUAAAGUAAGUAUCCAUAAAACCCAAAGAGGAGAUUGUAAAACUCCUCUUUGGAUCAUGUAUAGAGUCACAGCU